CAAAAAGGAAGAAAGAUCAGAAGAGAGCAAACCAACAUAUCCCCAGGCAACUAACGUUUACUUCGAGGGAGAACAAGCAGGAAAACCAUUAGAUUCUUCCAAGACAGAAAUCUUAAGAGACCAUGUAACCCAAGUGUCCAACAGGACCUUCCAUAAUGAUGGAAAUGGACUAUAUCUGCACUGUCCAAUAAACCAUCUAUAUGUGGCUCUGGAGCAUCCGGAAUGUACAAGCGAGGAACUUAAUUUUAUUUCAUUUUCACUAAAUUAAAUUUGAACGGCCAUAUGUGGCUAGCACCUGCCAUGUUGGACAGUGCAGACCUAAGAGCAUCAUUUUACUGUCAGAAAACAUGACUAAGAGAAAGCAAAAGUUACACAAGAAAGAAGGAAGACAGUCCGUCGCCUGACACUUAGCUUAGUGUUAGUUUUAUUACUCAUAUAUUGUCAUAACAUUUACUUAAUGAGAAGUAAAGUUAAAUAUGUGAUUCUAGGGAAUGUUUUUGCUCAUUAAUGAUACUGUAAAUUGGUUAAUAACUAAUUAUAUAACAAACAUUCUCUAAUUUCUCUUAAAUUUAAGCUAUAAAAUACUGUUUUUUUAAUACUGUUUUACAUUAAGUACAUCUCUAACAAAAACUUUAAACUGCAUGAAAUCACUCGUACUGUUAAUUUUUUUUUUAAUAUCUUAAGUGAAAACAGAUCAGAAGAUUCUUAAGUACAGAGACUUUGCUUAUACAUUUUUAAAAUGUUCUUCCCACCCACCCUCAAAAAAAGUACUGAACACAAGGUUAGGUAAGUUUCAAACUGCAGUUGUGUACACCUGGGAUGGAGCCCAGGAAUCUGCAUUUAUUUUUUUCACUUCAAAUAUACUUCUGCUUUAUUGUCUUUCUCCUCUCCUCAAGGAACUCUAAUUAUCCAUAAGUUAAACCUUUUUCAGGCUAUCCCCUCAGUAUUCCCCAAAAUUUAAUCUAUUUUCUAUCUUUAAAAAUAUAUUUUCUUCAAAUUAUCUUCUGAUUCAUUAAUCCUCUCUUCUGCUGCAUUCAACCUGAUGUCAUACUCAUUACUGAAUUCUCAAUUUCAUGGAUUUUAAAAAGUGUGCUUGCUUCUAGAGUUUCCAUUUUAUUCUGUUAAAAUUAUCUUGAACAUAGUCAGCAGGGGCUUUCCUAGUGGCUUCCCUGGUGACCCAGAUGGUACAGAAUCUGCCUGCAAUGCAGGAGAUUGUUUGAUCCCUGGGUUGGGAAGAUCCCCUGGAGAAGUGAAUGGCAACCUACUGCAGUAUUCUUGCCUGGGAAAUUCCAUGGACAGAGGAAGUUGGCAGGCUACAGUCCAUGGGGUCACAAAGAGUUGGACACGAGUGAGCUACUUAUACUAGUCAGCAGAAUUACUUUAAAAUCUGUAUCUGGUACCUCUGUUUUCUGGAUCUGCUGUGGGUCUAUUCCAUUAUUUACUGUUUCUCUUAAAUUUUGGUCAUAUUCUCUUACAUACUUGUGUGCUUUUUUUAAUUAGUUAUUUACUUGAGUGCCAGAUAUUGUAUAUAAAAAAUUUUAGAAUUAAAUUUAUUGAUAGGUCUACACGGUCUUCCCAAAGAGAGAUUUGAUAUCUCUUUUGGCAAGUAGUUAAGGGAUUUAACAAUCUGGGGUCACUUUAAUGCAAUUUUAGAAACUGAAAUUAUUUCAAACUAGGUUUCAGUCUGCAGGAUCUGCUUCAUUUCUGGUUCACUGCUGAAGCUGUGGUACUAUAAAAAAGAAGAAAAGAAGAGAAGAAAGAGAACUAACACUGAAUGGAAAGGGUCUCAGCUCAAAGCAGGAGGAGUCCACCAUUCCUUACUUUUCUUAAUAGGCCCUGCUCUCCAACGUUUUGGGAAACCACAGGAGCCUAAAUUGAAUACACUAUCAUCCAGAGAAGAGUUAAACGUGUCGAGACUCAGGUAGCACUACUGACUUGAGAACACUCUAGCCCACUGCAAGACCCACAGCUUCAUCGGGAGUUUUCCUAUCAGCCACUCAACUGUGCUACAUCCCUAAGGCUCAGUCUCCUUAUCUCAGCUUUGGCAUUACAACUCGUGUCACCCUGCCUUUUCCAGAGAUGCGCAUUCAUUCCUCUGAUUUUACAUCAUAGUGCCUGUGAUUACCCACCAGUAAAAGACGUGUCACUUUUCUCAAUUAAAAAGAAAGAAGGGGGUGGGGAGAAGAAGAGGAAGAAAAAGAACAAGGAAGAAAAAUAAAGGAGGAGGAACGAGAAGUGUGGAGGAAGAGGUGGAGGAAGAAGAUGGAAAUCAAUUAGUCCAAAUAGGUCAUCACUGAAUGACACAACCAGUAUCCAGAAAAACGUCUACUUCUGUUUUAUUGACUACGUCAAAGCCUUUGACUGUAUGGAUCAAAACAAACUUAAAAUUCUUAAAUUUUAAGAAAGUUCCUAAAGAGAUGGGAAUACCAGACCACCUUAUCUGCCUCCUGAGAAACCUGUAUGCAGGUCAAGAAGUAACAGUUAGAACUGGACAUGGAACAACGGACUGGUUCCGAAUUGGGGAAGGAGUACAUCAAGGCUGUAUAUUGUCACCCUGCUUAUGCAACUUCCAUGCAGAGUACAUCAUGUGAAAUGCCGGGCUGGAUGAAGCGCAAGCUGGAAUCAAGAUUGCUGGAAGAAAUAUCAAUAACCUCAGAUAUGCAGAUGACACCACCCUUAUGGCAGAAAGUGAAGGACUAAAGAGCCUCUUGAUGAAAGUGAAAGAGGAGAGCGAAAAAGUUGGCUUAAAGCUCAACAUUCAGAAAACUAAGAUCAUGGCAUCCAGGCCCAUCACUUCAUGGCAAAUAGAUGGGGAAACAAUGGAAACAGUGACAGACUUUAUUUUGGGGGGCUCCAAAAUCACUGCAGAUGGUGACUGCAGCCUUGAAAUUAAAAGACUCUUGCUCCUUGAAAGAAAAGGUACAAUAAACCUGGACAGCAUAUUAAAAAGCAGAGAUAUUACUUUACCAACAAAGGUCCAUCUAGUCAAAGCUAUGGUUUUUCCAGUAGUCAUGUAUGGAUGUGACAAUUAGACUGUAAAGAAAGCUGAGCACUGAAGAAUUGAUGCUUUUGAACUGUAGUGUUAGGAAAAGACUCUUGAGAGUCCCUUGGACUGCAAGGAGGUCAAACCAAUCCAUUCUAAAGGAAAUUAGUCCUGAACACUUUUUGGAAGGAUGGAUGCUGAAGCUGAAGCUCCAAUACUUUGGCCACCUGAUGCGAAGAACUGACCUAUUGGAAAAGACCCUGAUGCUGGGAAAGAUUGAAGGCGGGAGGAGAAGGGGACAACAGAGGAUGAGAUGGUUGGAUGGCAUCACCGACUCGAUGGACAUGAGUUUGAGCAAGCUCCAGGAGUUGGUGGAUGGACAGGGAAGCCUGAAGUGCUACGGUUCAUGGGGUUGCAAAGAGUCGGACAUGACUAAGCAACUGAACUGCACUGAACUGAAACACAACCAGUGGAAUCCUACCAUGUUUGUCCUUUCAUGUCUGCCUUAUUCUCCUUUGCAUAAUAUCUUUAAGGUUCACCAUGUUUUAGCAUAUGUCAGAAACUUUCUUAUUUUUAAGGCUAAAUAAUAUUCCAUUGUAUGUAUAUACAAUGUUUUGUUUAUUCAUUCAUCCAUCAGUGGACACUUGGGUUGCUUUUAGCUCUUGGCUAUUGUGAAUAAUGCUGCUAUGGACGUGGGUAUAUACAAAUAUCUGUUCAAGUUUUGCUUUCACUUCUUUUGAGUAUAUACCCAGACAUGGAAUUGCUGGGUCAUUUGAUUGUUUAAUUUUUUCAGGAAUCAUCAUACCAUUUUCAAAGCAGUUGCAUCAUUUUACAUUCUCAAGAGCAACACACAAGUGUUUUAAUUUUCCACAUCCCUUACUAACACUUGCUUUUUUUUGAUUUUUGGUUUUAAUAAUGGUCCUGCUAAUGGGUAUGAAGUGGUAUCUCACUGUAGUUUUGAUUUGAUUCCCAUUAAUGACUAGCAUCUUUUUAUCUGCUUUCUGGGCAUUUGUAUAUAUUCUUUAGAGAAAUGUCUAUUCAAGUCUCUUGCUCAUUUUCUCAUUUUUGAAUUGGUCUGUUAUGGCUGUUGUUCAAAUGGUGUGUUCUUAAACUAACAGUUCCAUACUGACCUUCUGAUACCCUAAUAUUUACCUUUGCUAACUGUGGCAAAGGUAGCACUCCUCUAGCAGGCUUGUUCAAAUUUUGUUCUAGAAGUCAUUCCUGGACUUCCCUGGUGGUCCAGUGGCUAAGACUCUACGCUCCCAAUGUAGCGGUCCAGGUUCGAUCCCAGGUCAGGGAACUAGAUCCCACAAGCAACAACUAAAGAGCUUGCAUGCCACAACUAAAAGAUCCUACAUUUCGCAAUUACGAUCUGGCACAGACAAAAUGAAAAACAAAACAAAACAACAGAAGUCAUUCUUAGCAGCCCAGUCCACAGGCUAGAGUAGUUUGUCUCUUGUAACUGAACCCUGACUGAAUAUAACCAUUUUACCCCUUCAGUCUUUCAAGCUGUCAUCUUUCAAAGGAAGGAAAGUACCCAAAGUUAAAGGCUUCAAACUAACUCAUAAGUUCCACAAUCUAGUAAAAUUCUAGGUAAGGCAAACAACUUUAUGCUGUUUCCUUGAAUUUCCUGGUAAAUUAAUUAAGAAGGAUAUGGUUUUAUCUGUUCUUCUUAUUAAAUUUAUAUACCAUUAUCUUUGGGAUGAAUGACAUGUUUUAUUACAAUAGGCUAUUCAAUGAUCUUUUCCUCAACCAAGAACACUGUG